GUCGCUUGGGGAUGACAUUGUGGCUUAAGGUGCUAUGGGAGCGACCAAUAGGACGCCGGCGUAGUCUUUGAUUAAAACUAGGAACGAACGGUUCGAUUUUCAGCAAAGAUGUUUGAGGAAAUAUUUUUGUGAGUGGACACACACCUAAGCAAUUAAGGAGCAAAAGGGAGAGACGCAAACGAGGGAUAUUCGUCGCCUGGCAAAUUGCCUGCUGGCAGGUCGGUGCCAGUGCCAUUGCCAGUGCGAGUGCGAAAGAGACGGGCAAUCCAAUCGAAGACACUGCAACAAUUCGAGUUUAAUUGAUGCCAGUCGGCGGCACCGGCAAAAAUCGGAGAGUGUGCGUGCGCCGGCAUUUAUGAGCUGAGCUGAGCUCCGCCGGAAAGAAAGGCUCCUUUUGCCACCUGGCGAACGGACAAUAACUGAGCCGUUGAUUGGCACUGAGGCCAGGUGCAAGAGCUUCUUUCUGUCAUCCUCUUCAGUGCGCCUCCCCCGAUGUUCCCCUGCCAUCGCACUUGAUUCCAGCUAUUAGCCUCGUCGGCGGGCAUUGAACUUUUCCCAGGAGGCAACAAGUGACGGUGAACUUUUCACGGGAAAUGGAUGGAAAAUCUUUUGGAAAUGCAGGGUAAAUACGAGCCAGCAAAAACAAGGACCAACGGCAAAGAGUCCAUCAGACAGACAGUGAAAAAAGGAGAAAGCUCACUCACGACUACAACUGCAUUUAUGCAAAUAUUAAUAUAGAUAUACUCGCAUACACACCAUCACAAACACACAUACACUGUCAGGGACAGACAGACAGAAAGAGAGGGCAUCACAAAGUACCGUUGACAAACCCAUUAUCAGGAAAACAAACCGGAGAUUAACUUGGCAAAAUGUCUGCAGACGUCAAAAAAACACGGAGUGGCCAGCGAGUGCGAGCGAGAGGGCAGCAAUAGGAUAACCACCAGAUGCUGAAUAAAAUAUGAGCACACACACACAUACAUAGUUGGAAAAGGAGUAAGCGAGACGGCGACAGAAUGUAGACACACGCAUUUGGUCCUGCAAAAGUCCUGGAAAAGUGACACAUGAGCGUAAUAACAGCUAAGACCUUGCUAAGCAUCCGGCAGUCAACAACCACUUGCUGGAUGCCCAUCCUCAUCCACAUCCACAUCCUCAUCCUCAUCCUCAUCCUCAUCCUCGUCCUGGUUCUGGUUCCCGUGUCCUGGUCGAGCAACCCCUUCCUGGUUUUUGGGACGUCGCUGCACUCAGCAUGAUUACAAAUUAUAACGUCUGAGCAGUUCUGCCACUGUGUGUGUUUGUAUGUGUGCAUAAAGGGGCGGUCCCGGUUACCGCCCAUAGGAAAUAUAACUCCGCAAAUUUAGCCAGCCCAACUUUACUGAGGGAAAAUG